rnacentral:piRNA from 1 species
GCUGGAUUAAGAUCAAAGGGAU